AUUGAAACACCGGUUCCCGUACGAUCAAUGAAGUUAAGCAACGUCCAACCUGGUUAGUACCUUGAUGGGUGACCGCUUUGAAAUGCCAGGUGCUGUAA